GACGAACGCUGGCGGCGUGCUUAACACAUGCAAGUCGAACGGAAAGGCCCUGCUUUUGUGGGGUGCUCGAGUGGCGAACGGGUGAGUAACACGUGAGUAACCUGCCCUUGACUUUGGGAUAACUUCAGGAAACUGGGGCUAAUACCGGAUAGGAGCUCCUGCUGCAUGGUGGGGGUUGGUAAGUUUCGGCGGUUGGGGAUGGACUCGCGGCUUAUCAGCUUGUUGGUGGGGUAGUGGCUUUCCAAGGCUUUGACGGGUAGCCGGCGUGAGCGGGUGACCGGCCACAUUGGGACUGAGAUACGGCGCAGACUCCUACGGGAGGCAGCAGUGGGGAAUAUUGCGCAAUGGGCGGAAGCCUGAUACAGCGACGCCGCGUGCGGGAUGACGGCCUUCGGGUUGUAAACCGCUUUCGCCUGUGACGAAGCGUGAGUGACGGUAAUGGGUAAAGAAGCACCGGCUAACUACGUG
rnacentral:rRNA from 1 species